rnacentral:rRNA from 1 species
CCUACGGGAGGCAGCAGUGAGGAAUAUUGGUCAAUGGGCGAAAGCCUGAACCAGCCAAGUCGCGUGAGGGAUGACGGCCCUAUGGGUUGUAAACUUCUUUUAUAUGGGAGUAAGAUGUUCCACGUGUGGGAUGUUGUAUGUACCAUAUGAAUAAGGAACGGGUAAAUCCGUGCCAGCAGCCGAGGUAAUACGGGAGGUCGGAGAGUUAUCCGGAUUUGAUGGGUUUACAAGGAGGUUAGGUGGAUUGUUAAGUCAGUUGUGAAAAUGUGCGGCUCAAGCGUAAAAGUGCCGUUGAAACUGGCAUUCUUGAGUACAGUAGAGGUGGGCGGAAUUCGUGGUGUAGCGGUGAAAUGCUUAGAUAUCACGAAGAACUCCGAUUGCGAAGGCAGCUUACUGGACUUCAACUGACACUGAGGCUCGAAAGUGUGGGUAUCAAACAGGAUUAGAUACCCUUGUAGUC